rnacentral:rRNA from 1 species
AACGAACGCUGGCGGCAGGCUUAACACAUGCAAGUCGAACGGGUGCAGCAAUGCAUCAGUGGCAGACGGGUGAGUAACACGUGGGAACCUUCCUAGGGGUACGGAACAACUCAGGGAAACUUGAGCUAAUACCGUAUACGUCCGUGAGGAGAAAGAUUUAUCGCCCUUAGACGGGCCCGCGUCGGAUUAGCUAGUUGGUGGGGUAACGGCCUACCAAGGCGACGAUCCGUAGCUGAUCUUAGAGGAUGAUCAGCCACACUGGGACUGAGACACGGCCCAGACUCCUACGGGAGGCAGCAGUGGGGAAUCUUGGACAAUGGGCGCAAGCCUGAUCCAGCCAUGCCGCGUGAGUGAAGAAGGUCUUCGGAUUGUAAAGCUCUUUUGCCAGGGACGAUAAUGACGGUACCUGGAGAAUAAGCCCCGGCAAACUUCGUGCCAGCCGCCGCGGUAA